UCCGUAGGCGGUGCGGCAAGUCGGAAGUGAAAUCUCUGGGCUUAACUCAGAGGCUGCUUCCGAAACUGCCGUGCUAGAGUGCGAGAGAGGCGAGUGGAAUUGCGGGUGUAGCGGUGAAAUGCGUAGAUAUCCGCAGGAACAUCCGAGGCGAAAGCGGCUCGCUGGAUCGCAACUGACGCUGAGGGACGAAAGCUAGGGGAGCAAACAGGAUUAGAUACCCUGGUAGUCCUAGCCCUAAACCAUCAGGACUUGGGGUUUGCCCUGUACGGGGCAAGUCCCGUAGCUAACGCGUUAAGUCCUGCGCCUGGGGAGUACGGUCGCAAGGCUGAA
rnacentral:rRNA from 1 species